GCACUGGUAAAAAAAAAAGAUAGCUCAGUUGGUAGAGCAUUAGGCUUUUAACCUAAGUGUCCAGGGUUCGAGUCCCUGUCAGGGCG